GGAAAAAUUGUUGUUCCAAGUCGACCAAACCAGGGCCAGAGCCAAAAAUCCAAGGGGGCAGGAGCGGGACAUGUGGUGCCUUCUCCAGUGGCACAGACGACCUUCAAGUGGAGGAUCGAUGGCUUCUCAUCGCUUCUUGAUAAGGAUGGAGGAUGGACCUACUCCACGGUGUUUGAGAUCAUGGGACAUAACUGGUACUUGAAACUGAAUCCUAGGGACAGAAAGAGCGGUGGUAAAAAUGAGUAUGUUUCUCUUAGGCUUGAGCUGGCCCGAAGAUCCGUGAAAUCUGAUUCAGUGGUGGAGGCAUCAUUCAAGUUCUUGAUAUAUGACCAGUCAUAUGGAAAGCACCAUGAAAAUCAAGUGACCCACAGUUUCCAAAAUGCAUGGACAAGCUCUGGGACCUCAUGCAUGAUUCCCCUCAGCACACUGAAGAAACAUUCCUCUGGAUUCGUCGUCAACAAUAGCUAUGUUUUUGGUGUCGAGUUCAUAAAAGUUGUCACCUCCAAAGCUAAUGAUAUGUCAGAGAUUUUGUUUGUCCAGAAGAUGAACACCACCUUCAGUGAUCCCGAGGUCUACACCCGGGACAUUGAAGACUUCUUUGCAUUGAAGAGCCUGGACAAGUCUCCAGAGUUUGAAAUUGGUGGACACAAAUGCUCUAUCAUUAUGUAUCCAUCUGGAUCCGGUAGCAACGGGAACUACCUAUCAUUGUACCUGAACAUGAAGAUGCCACAUACCCCACAUCAGAACUCGGCAAUCCUGGUAGAACUAAGCAUGCACAUCAAGGACCAGGAAACUGGCAAUCACAAUAAAAUAACAUGCCGGUGUCAGUUCUCAAAAAAUUCUGCCAAAUGGGGAUGGGACAAAUUCAUAUCGCUGGAAGAUUUCAAGGACUAUUCAAAUGGUUACCUCGUGAAAAAAAAGUGUUGCAUUAAAGUUGAAGUUGGAAUCAUUGGGUCCUCCAAGAUGGAGUAG
rnacentral:rRNA from 1 species